rnacentral:rRNA from 1 species
AGAGUUUGAUCCUGGCUCAGGACGAACGCUGGCGGCGCGCCUAACACAUGCAAGUCGAACGAGAGAGAAGGAGCUUGCUUCUUCGAUCGAGUGGCGAACGGGUGAGUAACGCGUGAGGAACCUGCCUCAAAGAGGGGGACAACAGUUGGAAACGACUGCUAAUACCGCAUAAGCCCACGGCUCGGCAUCGAGCAGAGGGAAAAGGAGCAAUCCGCUUUGAGAUGGCCUCGCGUCCGAUUAGCUAGUUGGUGAGGUAACGGCCCACCAAGGCGACGAUCGGUAGCCGGACUGAGAGGUUGAACGGCCACAUUGGGACUGAGACACGGCCCAGACUCCUACGGGAGGCAGCAGUGGGGAAUAUUGCACAAUGGGGGAAACCCUGAUGCAGCGACGCCGCGUGGAGGAAGAAGGUCUUCGGAUUGUAAACUCCUGUUGUUGAGGAAGAUAAUGACGGUACUCAACAAGGAAGUGACGGCUAACUACGUGCCAGCAGCCGCGGUAAAACGUAGGUCACAAGCGUUGUCCGGAAUUACUGGGUGUAAAGGGAGCGCAGGCGGGAAGACAAGUUGGAAGUGAAAUCUAUGGGCUCAACCCAUAAACUGCUUUCAAAACUGUUUUUCUUGAGUAGUGCAGAGGUAGGCGGAAUUCCCGGUGUAGCGGUGGAAUGCGUAGAUAUCGGGAGGAACACCAGUGGCGAAGGCGGCCUACUGGGCACCAACUGACGCUGAGGCUCGAAAGUGUGGGUAGCAAACAGGAUUAGAUACCCUGGUAGUCCACACCGUAAACGAUGAUUACUAGGUGUUGGAGGAUUGACCCCUUCAGUGCCGCAGUUAACACAAUAAGUAAUCCACCUGGGGAGUACGACCGCAAGGUUG